rnacentral:lncRNA from 1 species
AAAUGAUUGCUGGCUUCUUCAAGGGCUGGAGCAGGGCUUGCAGGGGAUUGCUGGCCUUCAGUGUGUGAGGUCUUUGGCCUUUUUCUACGUGAACAUCAAGAAACAAUAUCUGCUCUUGGAGUCACUGCCACCAAGGGAAUAACUUUACCUGGAAUAUGGACUGGGAGCUCAAGCCAAAAGCAUGGACAAGGGAGUCCCAGAUUACAGGAUACUAUUAUGACUUUUGCAUAAAUAUAAACUCCUAUUAGAUAAAUUGAUAAGAUGUGCUCUGGUUAGCUAUUGCUGUGUAACAAACCACCCCAAACAGUGGUUUAAAGCAAUGACAUUCUAGGGUUGGCUGGGCUCAGCCAGGUGGUUCUUAUGUGGUCUAUCAUUAAGGUGCAAAAAGAUAGUGGCUGGGUUAGGGCCAUUCUGAAGAGUUAUUCACUCACAGGUCUAGAACCUGGGCUGAAGGACUCAAACAGCUGGAGGAUCUAUCUAUCUAUCUAUCUAUCUAUCUAUCUAUCUAUCUAUCUAUCAUCUUCUAUCUAUCUAUCUAUCAUUAUCUUUCAAUCUCCUCCAUAUGAUCUCUCCCCAAAGUGGCUCCAGGGUAACCAGACUUCUUACAUGACAGCUGGAGCCUUGGAGUAAGUUUCCUAAAGAGACACUGGUAGAAGCUGCAUGAUCUUUUCUAAUCUGACUUCAGAAGUCACACUUCUACUACAUUCUGUUCAUUAAUGCAGCCACAAGGGCCCGCCCAAGUUCAAGAGGUGAGGAUACUGACUCUGUCUCUUAAUGUGCAGAGUGUCAAAUAAUUUACAAGCACGUUUCAAAAACCACCAGAAGUUGCAAGAAUGAAUCAGUUAGUGUUGAUGAAUAUCAAUAUAAUAUAGUUACAAAAUGAAUUAUUGCAAGAUUUAAAAUUUGCAAACUCUGAUAGUCACCUAGUGACCAUCUCACCAAGCAUUUCUAGAGGUGCCCACCACUUGAUUUCCAGCCUAGGUGCUGCCCUGGCCUAAGCAGAGACCCCAGUUAUACAUUGGAGUAGGCAAUGGAGAGUCAAGAUGACCUGAUUCUGUCAUGCUGAGUCAUAUGACCUUUGAUAUAUCACUUUAACUUACUGGGCCUCAUGUUUCUCCUGCAUAGUGGAGAUACUAGCCUUGCCUUACCUAUGUUGAAGAAUUGUGAUGAGACUCAAAUAAGAAUGUACUUUAUAACUGCAAAGUGUUCUACAAAGGAAGAGAAUGCUCCCUCCUGUUUCUUGCCUCUUCUGAACACUGGUGAAGCCAUGAGGCCUUAAGAACCUUGUCACAUUAAAGGUUAACCCUCCAGGAAUCUUCUGUUACACAUUUCUUCCCAAUAGCCCUGGGUUCUCAUGGUGUCCACUGGCGCCUAUUUACUGGGUUCUUCUGGGAGGGAUGGAGUGUUUGGCUUUUCCCCACGUGGCUUGACUGCUGGCAAUCACCUCUGUGUGCUUUUUUUUUUUUUUUUUUUUUUUUUUUUUUAUGGAGUCUUGCUCUGUAGUCCAGGCUGGAGUGCAGUGGCAUGAUCUCAGCUCACUGCAACCUCUGCCGCCUGGGUCCCGGUUCAAGCAAUUCUGCCUCAGCCUCCUGAGUAGCUGGGAUUACAGGCACGUGCCACCAUGCCCAGCUAAUUUUUGUAUUUUUAAUAGAGACAGGGUUUCACCAUGUUGGCCAGGCUGGUCUUGAACUCUUGAUCUCGUGAUCUGCUUGCCUCAGCUGCCAAAGUGCUGCGAUUAUAGGCAUGAGCCACCGCGCCUGGCCCUGUGUGCUCUUUAUUAUGGGAUGGCUUUUCCAGUCCACAGGGAGGAUCUUCCCUACAACUGACAGCAUAAGGCUGGGUUCAAGGGGUGAAAUGGACAGUGCUUUGGGACCUGGUGGCAGAAAAGCUAAUGUGAAACUGACAGAAGAGAAAUUUAUUUACCAACUCUCCAAUCUACACCUCCAACACAGACUUGCUUUUCUUUUAAAGGACCCAAGUUUGCUUCUUUUCAAAACAUUAAAAAUAUUUAGUCAGAGACAGUUCAGCCUCUCAGUGCUUCCUCUUUAGCAGAGAAGAUCCAGAAACACCUGUCACAGGCACAACCUAUGGAUUUAUUUAUUUAUUUAUUUAUUUAUUUAUUUAUUUAUU